rnacentral:rRNA from 1 species
UACGGAGGGGGCAAGCGUUGUUCGGAUUUACUGGGCGUAAAGGGUGCGUAGGUGGUGAAGUAAGUCGGAUGUGAAAUCUCGGAGCUUAACUCCGAAACUGCAUUGGAAACUACUUUGCUCGAGGGUUGGAGGGGGGACUGGAAUUCUCGGUGUAGCAGUGAAAUGCGUAGAUAUCGAGAGGAACACCAGUGGCGAAGGCGAGUCCCUGGACAACUCCUGACACUGAGGCACGAAAGCUAGGGGAGCAAACAGG